rnacentral:other from 1 species
GUUUCAAUGCCUCAUAGGUAGAGUAAAAAC